rnacentral:rRNA from 1 species
UGGGGAAUAUUGCACAAUGGGCGAAAGCCUGAUGCAGCAACGCCGCGUGAGGGACGACGGCCUUCGGGUUGUAAACCUCUUUUAGCAAGGAAGAAGCGAAAGUGACGGUACUUGCAGAAAAAAGCGCCGGCUAACUACGUGCCAGCAGCCGCGGUAAUACGUAGGGCGCAAGCGUUAUCCGGAAUUAUUGGGCGUAAAGAGCUCGUAGGCGGUUUGUCGCGUCUGCUGUGAAAACCCGAGGCUCAACCUCGGGCCUGCAGUGGGUACGGGCAGACUAGAGUGCGGUAGGGGAGAUUGGAACUCCUGGUGUAGCGGUGGAAUGCGCAGAUAUCAGGAAGAACACCGAUGGCGAAGGCAGAUCUCUGGGCCGUAACUGACGCUGAGGAGCGAAAGGGUGGGGAGCAAAACAGGCUUAGAUACCCUGGUAGUCCACCCCGUAAACGUUGGGAACUAGUUGUGGGGUCCAUUCCACGGAUUCCGUGACGCAGCUAACGCAUUAAGUUCCCCGCCUGGGGAGUACGGCCGCAAGGCUAAAACUCAAAGGAAUUGACGGGGUCAUAGCUGUUUCCU